rnacentral:rRNA from 1 species
UACGUAGGGUGCAAGCGUUGUCCGGAUUUAUUGGGCGUAAAGAGCUCGUAGGCGGUUAGUCACGUCGGAUGUGAAAACCCGGAGCUUAACUCCGGGCCUGCAUUCGAUACGGGCUGACUAGAGUGUUGUAGGGGAGACUGGAACUCCUGGUGUAGCGGUGAAAUGCGCAGAUAUCAGGAAGAACACCGGUGGCGAAGGCGGGUCUCUGGGCAACUACUGACGCUGAGGCGCGAAAGCCAGGGGAGCGAACGGG